rfam:Oryza punctata chromosome 6, whole genome shotgun sequence.
AAAAAGUAUAGUUUUGUAUUAUUCAUGUUUAACGUUGGACCGUUCGUCUUAUUUGAUUUUUUUUAUGAUUAGUAUUUUUGUUAUUAUUAGAUGAUAAAACAUGAAUAAUACUUUAUGUGUAACUAUUUUUUUAUUUUUUCAUAAAUUUUUCAAAUAAGACGGAUGAUCAAACGUUGGACACGGAUACCUACGGCUGCACUUAAA